rnacentral:rRNA from 1 species
UCAAAGGAAUUGACGGGGAGCACCACAACGGGUGGAGCUUGCGGUUUAAUUGGAUUCAACGCCGGAAAUCUUACCGGGACCGACAGCAAUAUGAAGGGCCAGGCUGAAGACUUUGCCGGAUUAGCUGAGAGGUGGUGCAUGGCCGUCGUCAGUUCGUACUGUGAAGCAUCCUGUUAAGUCAGGCAACGAGCGAGACCCACGCCCACAGUUGCCAGCGUACUCUCUGGAGUGACGGGUACACUGUGGGACCGCCGCUGCUAAAGCGGAGGAAGGAAUGGGCAACGGUAGGUCAGUAUGCCCCGAAUAUCCCGGGCUACACGCGAGCUACAAUGGUUGGUACAAUGGGUAUCUACCCCGAAAGGGGACGGGAAUCUCCUAAAACCAAUCUUAGUUCGGAUUGAGGGCUGCAACUCGCCCUCAUGAAGCUGGAAUCCGUAGUAAUCGCGUUUCAACAGAACGCGGUGAAUACGUCCCUGCUCCUU